UUUCCAAAAUUUACUACGUAACCUUUAUAUUGCUAAACCUAAUACUGUACACUCAUUGGAUGGUUAUUCUGUUGCUCAACUUAGAUGGGCUCUUAUGAGAGAACCAAGCGUUGCUCUAUGACAUUUUAAGGCUAGUGCGCUUAAUAUCACGUAUCACGUAAAUAUUAUAUACAAAAAAACAACAAUUGAUUUUCAAAAUUUUAAUCGACAAACAAGAGUGCUUAGUGCUCAACACAACUUUCGCAGGGCUAAACACGUUCAAAUGGCGCAGAGAAUUAUCUUUAUUUUGAAAAAAGCUUAAUAGAUCAUCUUCACGGGGAUCUUCAUUCAUUUCCUCAUUAAAAAAAUGCAUCCUUAUGAGAAAAUAUUCUGGUUUUGAUGCACAAUGACAAACCUGUCGUUGUGACAAUGGUGUUGGAGAGCGGAGGAGACCGGCCCUUUACAACCUUCAGUCUAAUGCAAAUCACACAUUGUGACCGGUGGGACAACAAGGAGAUGUGUCAAAUUGUAUUCUAAUACAAAAAAAAAAUUCCAGAAGAACGUAAGAAAAAUAUGUAAAUAAAGGUGAAAAGGAAAAAUUAUGUUGUUAAGAUUAUGUUUAUGUAGAAUAU